rnacentral:rRNA from 1 species
GUAGGGAAUAUUGGACAAUGGGUGCGAGCCUGAUCCAGCCAUGCCGCGUGCAGGAAGACGGCCUUCUGGGUUGUAAACUGCUUUUGCCAGGGGAUAAAAAGUCCCUGCGGGGAAAAUUGAAGGUACCUGGUGAAUAAGCCACGGCUAACUACGUGCCAGCAGCCGCGGUAAUACGUAGGUGGCAAGCGUUGUCCGGAUUUAUUGGGUUUAAAGGGUGCGUAGGCGGUCCAUUAAGUCAGUGGUGAAAUACGGCAGCUUAACUGUCGAGGUGCCAUUGAUACUGGAGGACUUGAGUACAGACGAGGUAGGCGGAAUUGACGGUGUAGCGGUGAAAUGCUUAGAUAUCGUCAAGAACACCGAUAGCGAAGGCAGCUUACUAGACUGUAACUGACGCUGAGGCACGAAAGUGUGGGGAUCAAACAGGAUUAGAAACCCCAGUAGUCC